rnacentral:rRNA from 1 species
AUUGAACGCUGGCGGCAGGCCUAACACAUGCAAGUCGAACGGUAACAGAAAGCAGCUUGCUGCUUUGCUGACGAGUGGCGGACGGGUGAGUAAUGUCUGGGAAACUGCCUGAUGGAGGGGGAUAACUACUGGAAACGGUAGCUAAUUCCGCAUAACGUCGCAAGACCAAAGAGGGGGACCUUCGGGCCUCUUGCCAUCGGAUGUGCCCAGAUGGGAUUAGCUUGUUGGUGGGGUAACGGCUCACCAAGGCGACGAUCCCUAGCUGGUCUGAGAGGAUGACCAGCCACACUGGAACUGAGACACGGUCCAGACUCCUACGGGAGGCAGCAGUGGGGAAUAUUGCACGAUGGGCGCAAGCCUGAUGCAGCCAUGCCGCGUGUAUGAAGAAGGCCUUCGGGUUGUAAAGUACUUUCAGCGGGGAGGAAGGGAGUAAAGUUAAUACCUUUGCUCAUUGACGUUACCCGCAGAAGAAGCACCGGCUAACUCCGUG